rnacentral:lncRNA from 1 species
UGGUAAACAAAAAUUUUCAUUACCAACAUAACAACCAACCAAGUACAAACCAAAUAUCAAUCACCAAUAUCCACCAACAUAUAUCCACCAACUAAAUAUCCACUAACUAAUUAUAUUUACCAACUAAUAUUCACUUUUCAACCAACAAUUUCAUCCAACAAACAUACGGAUUUAUACCCUUCUUUUAACUCAUCUUUAUACAUUGAUCUCAUGGUCGUUCAUCAAUUGACUCUUCCAUUACACGAUCUCCCUUGCACUACUCCUAAGUAUUCAUUCCCUGCAAUUGAUAAACACUUACAAUUAAAGCUCUUAAUAAGAUACAUAGCGGAAAAUAGAUAGCUUUAGUCUCAAUGCUAUAUAUUUAUAUCGACAAUCAAUAUGGACUAUGAAAUUUAUACCUAACAGAAAUACAGAACCAUAUCUUGUAAAGCUCUCUUGUAACACGGAUUCUCCAACAGAAAUAGGCUAAAGGCAUUUAUGUAGCAUUAGGUCACUAAAAAAUAUUUGAAGUACUAUAAUAUAUUUGCAUUUUAUAUUUUGCACUAUUUAUAUGCAGAAACACAAUACUGUAAAUAGUCAAGACCGUGUAUUUUAUUUUCAUAUCAAAUAAGAUACAUAAAUAAGCACAGGGCAGAAUAUUACAUGUAGAAAUAGAAGCUAGAAAAUAAAAUUGAAAAAUGCACAUGUCUCUUGGUCUCUCUACCAAGUUUAGUACUGGUCAACGUGCACAUUAAAGCAAUUCAUAACUAGUAAAUGAUGCAAUAUUUACCUUGCCAUCACACUGGGCACAAUCUUUUUUAGAUCUUUCUUUUCCGCAUUCUGUACAUAAGAGUGUAACCUCUUCCCCUGCAACUUGGGCAAGGCAGUUCCAUUAUAUACCAAACCACUACCUUGGCUUUAUAGCAACGGAAACUGAAGCUUCCCUGAGACUGAAACAUGUGCCAAAAGAAUGUCAAAUCACAGGUAGCAUAAUAUUUUAGAUUAAUACAAUCAUACCCGACACACAGAUUCACGACCCCCUGUAAGCCAAAUGUCAAUAUUGGGAUGCAUAGCCAAGUAAUAAACUCCACUUAGGUGAUCAUGGUAAGACCUGAUAACCUUUAAAAGGUGGAGAAAUAUCAAUAAUUAAGUUUAUUAGAAACACUAGCAUAGCCAUAGUCCAUAAAGAAAGUUUUUAUCAAACCUUAUUUUAUUCAAGAUCCCAGCAUUUAACUUGUUUGUCAUCACCCGCAGAGAACAUAUAGGUAUGUCUCUUACUAACAGCAAGGCCUACAAGAAAGAGACAUAUUAAAACUUUAACAAUAGAUUAAUAGUAUAAGCAUAUAUAUAUAUAGUCACUAACAAAAAAGAACGGAAGGGGUGAGCUGACACGAACUAAACUCAGCCAACUUCUGCUUCAACUUAGCCUUUCAAAACCAUAGUAAACAUAAACCCAAAUGAGCAAACACUUCAAAUACCACAUUUUCAUACUACAUUUUUGACAAUAAUGACUGAUCUUUGCCUAAGUCUCAUGUUUACCAGCAGUGUGUUGAAUUAGUCUGCUAUUUUGUCUCGGAUUUUCUUUCAGGUUAUUGCUUAAUCUUAGUGGUCACUUAAGCCUCAAGCCUGUGUAUAUACUGAUCCUGCAUCCUGCAGACUUGUCAGACUGAUUUUCGACAAUAAUGACUGAUUUUUUUAUUCAUCUUUUACCAUUUCAGACUUGUCCUGCAUCCUGCAACUAUAUAAAAAAAAACUAAAACAUGGCAUGGGUUCAAAUUACACAUUACACAUAAAAAUAGAGUAUUGCAAUUUCACACAGAAAUAAAAAAACAAACCAAAGCAAAUCAACCACAUAAACAUAAAAACAAAUAAUAAAAAUGUAAUAAACCCAAAAACACAGAAGUCCUAAAUUCAUAAAUACCUUAAAACAAGUCUUGAAGUGCAAACCCAAACGAAGAACACCUGAAAUCAAAGAGAGAUAGAGAGAGAUUAGAUGAAAUUUAAGGGAUUAUAUGUAAGUACUUGAACUUUAAUUGAAGUUUAAUGAAGAAUCAAAGCAUGAUUGAAGCAGCCACGCCCUAAUUGAAGAAUCGAAGCCUCGACCCUCAAUUCAAUUGUCCCCAAUUAGAAACAUAAAUCGAUAAUGAUUGAAAGUGGUAGCGUGACUGAGAAAAUAGCGGCCAGAGAGAUGAGAGAGAUUAGCCCUAGAUUAGCGAGAGAGGGUAUUUCAAUUUUCUAGAGAGAGUCGAGCAGGGGUAUUGAGAGAGAG